ACUUGAUCUUUCAGCACACAGGGCCAGAGCAGUCUGUUGUUGUUCACAUACUGGGACACCAGAGGAAGGUGGAGGUGCUACUGGGGCCAGAAGGCUGAAAAGCUGAAGCUGACUUGAAAGACUUCUUACAGCAUCUGUAAGGUACCUUCGUUUCUUUGAAUACCCCCUACCCAAUCCUUUGUACUCUUUGAAGCUGACAUACAGUUGUUUCAUUUAAUGAUGACAAUGCUUAUGUUUAGAUUUCACUUUCAAAGUUGUGUGUGAAGUUCUGUGUACACAGUAUGUGUUUAGACAGUAUGUAAUAACUUUGAGACUGGCACCCUAGCUAGAACUACUCGUGUAGAAACCAUUAUGCUUUUUGUUUAUAGCAUGUAUCUGAGUUUAGCUGCUUUUGCUGUAUGAAGUUAUUUGUUCCUGUCUUACAGUCUGAAUGCAUUUCCAUGAACUACUUGUUCUCUGACAUUCAUUGUAUGUGCCCCACAUUUGACUUGAAAGCCUUUUCACCUCUGAGGUGAAUCCUUUUCCUGCAUGCUUAAGAGAAAAAUGUUAAACUGCUGCUGCUCAGAACCUCCAGGAGAAAAAUCUGUGGAGAUGCUCAUGAGUGUUUAUUUGUAUAAGUUACUUUAAGGUGUGAUUUAGUGCUUACUCCUUUCUAAUUUUCUCUUGCAGGAGAACAAGUAAGUAACAGGAAGAAAAGUCAUGUGAAGGCAAAAAACCCAGCAAAAGCAGUGAGUCUGUGCACAGUUAAAACAAAAAGCUAUUCCUGAUGCUAAUGCAGACAAAAAGAGUGAUUUUGGUGAAUAUGAUACAUGAGAUACUCUAUGACCACUAUUAUGAAUAGUGACCCUGAGAAAAAGAGCCCUGGAGGCAUGAGCUUUUGUCUUACAUUCUUCAAUGUGAGAGCUUUAUUUUUCAUUGCAGUGCCAUUUACAAGAUGUUAAAAGGCAAGCAGCUGCACACUGUGGAUAUGUAUGGAUAUUUUUGCUCUUUGCUCUUCCACUGAUACAGCAAUUAGGCUGAAGCUGCAAAGGGUCAAGAGAAGAAAAGCUCUCCCUAUGCAAGUCUAUCAAGCUACACAUCUCUGAACCUAAAUUUCUGGGUUCACUGGUUUUGUAAGAAUGCCAUUUUGCAUUGCAAACAAAUGAGCAAAUAAACUGAAACCAAACAAAUUCACGCUUUCAAUUAGGAGUGGUCCAGUGUUCUAUUAUUAUGCAUUUUUCCUCUCAGCAGCCAGCAUAGAGAUCUUCAAAAUGUUCCCUUGGGAGUUUCUUGGUUGAGAGUUUUUGUUCUGUUGAAAGGCCUUUUCUGGGCAGUUAUCUCCAGAGAAAAUCAUGUCUGAGCUACUAGACAGUAAACAACAGCACAGACCCACAGGGUACAGAGUGACCUGAAAAGGUUAAAACUAAAGCUAGUGACAGCAGUACAAUCCUUCCUGAGUGUCUGUGUACAUGUACAUGUAUAAUGUCAAAUAUAAAUAUUUUAAACACCCUUGGUCAAACCUCAAGCAAAAGAACUUACAAGACACUAUGAAGUAUAGGAUGUUUUUAAUAUCAGUUUAUUUUUAUGUGCAUAUAUAAAGAAAUUUGGUUAGAAAUGUUUCAGGGUAUGUCUUUAUCAGUAGUUCCAAGAUUUUAUACCACUUAGUCUUUUCAUCUGUUCUCCCAUUGUAUCUAGUGCUCCAUAAUGUUGAUGAAUGUGACAACUUUAUAUAUCCAGGAUUCAAUUAUACAGUUACUUACACCUACUUCCUGUUCUUCAUCUCUCCUUCCUCCUGUAAGCCAAAUAAUGGGAGAUUUCGCCUAUACUGCAUCAACAUCUACAGCUCAAGCAAUUCUCCUUCAUUCUUUUUCCCACUGGCCUUAUGCGCCUUGGUUGCUGAACAAUUUGUUUUUACUAACAAGUUUUCUUUUUACUGCCUGUCAGUUGUCACUACAAUGCUCCAUAACAGGUUUAAUAAC